rnacentral:rRNA from 1 species
AGCAGUCGCCGCGGUAAUACGUAGGUGGCAAGCGUUGUCCAGAAUUAUUGGGCGUAAAGGGCUCGCAGGCGGUUUCUUAAGUCUGAUGUGAAAGCCCCCGGCUCAACCGGGGAGGGUCAUUGGAAACUGGGAAACUUGAGUGCAGAAGAGGAGAGUGGAAUUCCACGUGUAGCGGUGAAAUGCGUAGAGAUGUGGAGGAACACCAGUGGCGAAGGCGACUCUCUGGUCUGUAACUGACGCUGAGGAGCGAAAGCGUGGGGAGCGAACAGGAUUAGAUACCCGUGUAGUCCCUGUCUCUUAUAC